rnacentral:rRNA from 1 species
GAUGAACGCUAGCGGCAGGCUUAACACAUGCAAGUCGAGGGGUAGAGGCUUUCGGGCCUUGAGACCGGCGCACGGGUGCGUAACGCGUAUGCAAUCUGCCUUAUACUGGGGGAUAGCCCAGAGAAAUUUGGAUUAAUACCCCAUAGUAUUUUCGGUUGGCAUCAACUGAUUAUUAAAGUUUUUCGGUACAAGAUGAGCAUGCGUCCCAUUAGCUAGUUGGUAUGGUAACGGCAUACCAAGGCUACGAUGGGUAGGGGUCCUGAGAGGGAGAUCCCCCACACUGGUACUGAGACACGGACCAGACUCCUACGGGAGGCAGCAGUGAGGAAUAUUGGUCAAUGGUCGCAAGACUGAACCAGCCAUGCCGCGUGCAUGAUGAAGCAUCUAUGGUGUGUAAACUGCUUUUGUACGGGAAGAAACACUGCUACGUGUAGCAGCUUGACGGUACCGUAAGAAUAGGGAUCGGCUAACUCCGUGCCAGCCGCCGCCGUAA